UGCAGGGCCAGGAGUGAGCAAUGUUCUGU
rnacentral:piRNA from 1 species